CGGCUCAGUCGGUUCCUCCCUGCAUAACCAAAGAUUUACAUGAGUGACAUACCAGUGAAGAUUUCAUUUAUACAAGUUCACAUAUAUUACACAAAUGAGGUAUAUUAGAGAUGGAGAUCAGCCAAUUUUUCUGGUCCAGACCAGAGAAAGCAACUUAAAAGCAUUGCUGGUAUCUUUAACUGUUUUGGUUCGAUUUGGUUUGGUUCUUAUAGCAACGGUUCUUUUUUGGUUUCGGUACCACACAGUUCUUUGGUUUGGUUCAGAACCUUCAAAAACCAUGCAUAGCCCUAGUAUCUAUGGCUGAAAUUACUGAUCAAAAUUCCAUGAAAAAUGUUGACAAAAAUUCUAAAAUCUAGUUGAAAGCAUAAAUAACAGAGACUUCAAAUAUAGAUUUGAACAUACCCAGGAUUGGAGCGCAUGCAUUG
rnacentral:misc_RNA from 1 species